GACGAACGCUGGCGGCGUGCUUAACACAUGCAAGUCGAACGGAGAUUAUUAAUGAAGCUUGCGAUUUAAUAAUCUUAGUGGCGGACGGGUGAGUAACGCGUGGGCAACCUACCCAUAAGCGGGGGAUAACAGUUGGAAACGACUGCUAAUACCGCAUAAGCUAUAGAGGUCGCAUGACCUAAAUAGUAAAGGUGGCAUUUAAAGAUGCUAUCACUUAUGGAUGGGCCCGGUCUGAUUAGCUAGUUGGUGGGGUAGUGGCCUACCAAGGCAACGAUCAGUAGCCGGCCUGAGAGGGUGGACGGCCACACUGGGACUGAGACACGGCCCAGACUCCUACGGGAGGCAGCAGUGGGGAAUAUUGCGCAAUGGGGGAAACCCUGACGCAGCGACGCCGCGUGAGCGAAGAAGGCCUUAGGGUUGUAAAGCUCUGUUCUAUGGGACAAGUCCUUGACUGUGAAUAAUGGUCAAGGUUGACGGUACCAUAGGAGGAAGCCCCGGAACUACG
rnacentral:rRNA from 1 species